rnacentral:lncRNA from 1 species
CCACUGCUCUCUUCAAAGCUGUCAGACAGGGACAUUUAAGUCUGCAGAGGUUACUGCUGUCUUUUUGUUUGUCUGUGCCCUGCCCCCAGAGGUGGAGCCUACUGAGGCAGGCAGGCCUCCUUGAGCUGUGGUGGGCUCCACCCAGUUCGAGCUUCCUGGCUGCUUUGUUUACCUAAUCAAGCCUGGGCAAUGGCGGGCGCCCCUCCCCCAGCCUCGCUGCCGCCUUGCAGUUUGAUCUCAGACUGCUGUGCUAGCAAUCAGCGAGACUCCGUGGGCGUAGGACCCUCCGAGCCAGUGAGAUGAACCCGGUACCUCAGCUGGAAAUGCAGAAAUCACCCGUCUUCUGCGUCGCUCACGCUGGGAGCUGUAGACUGGAGCUGUAGACAGGAGCUGUUCCUAUUCGGGCAUCUUGGCUCCUCCUUGAAAACAAGCCCUGGAAAAACAAAGAAUGGAACACCCCUCCGCUGACUUCAACCAACUGCCUGCUGAUGCGGCCUGACUCCCAGCCCUUUUUGCAGUUUUGAAGUGACAAACUGACUAGGCUACAAAGUAUUCAACCAUGGGCUGGUUCUGGCUGGUUCACCGAGGCUGUGUACAAAGUGUCUUCAUGUCCUGUGUUUCACCUUUUAACAUACAGAACCUAAUUUUACUGCAUUUUAAUGUUAAUUCUCCACUCGAAGGUGAACAUGGGAUGUAUGUAACACAUAUGUUUGCUUAUCAAGCACACAUAUGACCCCCUUUCAUGAAUAUUCAUAGUUCCCCCUGUGACCUGUUGAAUAUGUCUGUUUAGCCAACCUGUUUGGCAUAAAACUCCUAUCCCACCCUAUCUCCCUCAAAGUACCUGUUUGUGGUCUCAGCUGGAGGUGCCACUUCCCAGCCUGCAGUUUGCAACCCUUCUCAAGAAAUAAAGUCUUCC